rnacentral:misc_RNA from 1 species
GUGAAUCAUCAAAUCUUUGAACGCAAAUUGCACUCCCUGGUAUUCCGGAGAGUAUGCCUGUUUGAGGGUCAUUUAAAUAAAAAUCGGCUAGUUGUUGCCGCUUUGCGUAGUGACGCAUCGGGGUUUGGUCGUCUUACCUUCGGUUAAGUGACCUAAAAUUUUGCAUGAUUUUCGAACGUAUUUAAA